rnacentral:tRNA from 1 species
GGUGAUAUCGUCUAGUGGUUAGGACAACACGUUGUGGUUCGUUCAUCCCGAACAACAAAGUCCCGUGUAAACGCCGGUUCGAUUCCGGCUAUUGCCA